rnacentral:tRNA from 1 species
GCUAACGUAGCUUAAAUUAAAGCAUGACACUGAAAAUGUCAGGAUGAACCAUAAAAAGUUCCGCAAGCA